AUGAACGCUGGCGGCGUGCUUAACACAUGCAAGUCGAACGAAGCACCUCUAAUCGAAGAUUGAGAAAGCUUGCUUUGAUUGAUUCACCUUGAGGUGACUGAGUGGCGGACGGGUGAGUAACGCGUGGGUAACCUACCCUAUACAGGGGGAUAACAGUUGGAAACGACUGCUAAUACCGCAUAAGCGCACAGGACCGCAUGGUCUAGUGUGAAAAACUCCGGUGGUAUAGGAUGGACCCGCGUCUGAUUAGCUAGUUGGUGAGGUAACGGCUCACCAAGGCGACGAUCAGUAGGGGUUCUGAGAGGAAGGUCCCCCACAUUGGAACUGAGACACGGUCCAAACUCCUACGGGAGGCAGCAGUGAGGAAUAUUGGUCAAUGGGCGCGAGCCUGAACCAGCCAAGUAGCGUGCAGGAUGACGGCCCUAUGGGUUGUAAACUGCUUUUAUGCGGGGAUAAAGUGACGUACGUGUACGUUUUUGUAGGUACCGCAUGAAUAAGGACCGGCUAAUUCCGUGCCAGCCGCUGC
rnacentral:rRNA from 1 species